CUACGGGCGGCUGCAGUGGGGAAUAUUGCACAAUGGGCGCAAGCCUGAUGCAGCCAUGCCGCGUGUAUGAAGAAGGCCUUCGGGUUGUAAAGUACUUUCAGCGGGGAGGAAGGGAGUAAAGUUAAUACCUUUGCUCAUUGACGUUACCCGCAGAAGAAGCACCGGCUAACUCCGUGCCAGCAGCCGCGGUAAUACGGAGGGUGCAAGCGUUAAUCGGAAUUACUGGGCGUAAAGCGCACGCAGGCGGUUUGUUAAGUCAGACGUGAAAUCCCCGGGCUCAACCUGGGAACUGCAUCUGAUACUGGCAAGCUUGAGUCUCGUAGAGGGGGGUAGAAUUCCAGGUGUAGCGGUGAAAUGCGUAGAGAUCUGGAGGAAUACCGGUGGCGAAGGCGGCCCCCUGGACGAAGACUGACGCUCAGGUGCGAAAGCGUGGGGAGCAAACAGGAUUAGUUACCCCCGUAGUC
rnacentral:rRNA from 1 species